rnacentral:rRNA from 1 species
UACGUAGGGUGCGAGCGUUAAUCGGAAUUACUGGGCGUAAAGCGUGCGCAGGCGGUUUUGUAAGACAGAGGUGAAAGCCCCGGGCUCAACCUGGGAAUUGCAUUCGAGACUGAAUAGCUAGGGUACGGUAGAGGGAAGCGGAAUUUCCGGUGUAGCGGUGAAAUGCGUAGAUAUCGGGAGGAACACCGGUGGCGAAGGCGGUCUUCUGGACGGUGACUGACGCUGAGGCGCGAAAGCGUGGGGAGCAAACGGG